CUUAUAAGAGGGAGGCAGGAGGGUCAGUCAGAAGAGAUGGGACUGUGGAGGUAGAGUCUGGAGGGAUGUGCUUUGAAAAAUGGAAGAAGAGGUCACUAGCCAAGGAAUGCAAACAGCCCCUAAAGGCCAGAAAAGGCUAGAAAACAGAUUCUUCCCUGAAGCUGCAGACAAAAUGCAGCCCUGUCAGCAUCUUGGUUUUGGACUCUGACCCCCAGACCUGUAAGAGAAUAAAACUGUGUUGAUUUAAGCCACUAAAUUUGUGAUAACUUGUCAUAGCAGCAAUGGAAAAUGAAUACAGAACUUUUUGGGGAAUGUUCUGUAAUUCAAAAGCUUGUUUGCUUUUCUUUUAUGAUAGUGAGUGAGAAGAAGGGUGGUAAAGCCUAAGUCCCUUCUUGCUGUUCCUCCUCUUCAGAGGAAGUUGAGCUAUUCAGGAACGUUCCUCAUCCCAGCCUCUGUAUUUAAGAGGCUGAGCUGUGUGCCCAUCUCAGUUGGGUCCUGGACUUUCUGGAAGCCUUGGCUGUCAGAACAUGUCUAGAGCAUUGGGGUGAGCCACACCCCAGGAGAACUUCAGGAGCCGGUUCCUCCCUCCCUGAAAGAUCUGGAGACGCGGUGGGAAAUACAUGGACAAGAGUCUGGAAGGACAUGAUGCCCCAGCCACCCCAGAGUCAGCCUGGAGUGGGAGUGGGAGACAAGGGAGGCAUCACUCCAGCUGGGUCUCUUGAAUUGUUUUACAGUAAAGGUGCAUUCCUGCACUACUUAUGGAAUUAAAAAAAUAAACUUAAAUAUAUUAGACCUAU